ensembl:processed_transcript Sox2ot SOX2 overlapping transcript (non-protein coding)
AAAGCAGAUUAUUGUGCCUCUGUGCAGUGAAUACAGCCAGAGUAACCUUUUGUCUACAAUUAAAUAUUCUAGCAUAAAUAUAAAAGAAAAUCAGAGAUGGGAAAGAUUGACUCACAAGAGAUUGGAGAGGUAGAUCCUCACACUGAUAGCGAAGCAGCAGCUUGCUUCUAAUUAAAUAUGCGGCUGACUCUCCAUGCUCUCGCUCGCUAGCAGCCGCACAGAGGAGGAACGGCUGAGGAGAGGAAGGAAGGAGUCUAUCACAUCAUCUCUCUGUCCACAGGCUUUCCUUGGGGCUUAUGAAGGUAUUUUAGAAUUUUUAUAUUGGCAUUUUUUUUCCAGGGGAGAUAAAGGUGGUGAACCCUCAAGGGCAGCCAGACCUCAGUCUUGAAAGUUUAGGCUUGCUUGCUGUUCAGCAGCUGAGCUUCCUAGAUCUCUUCCUAGUCAGAAACCAAGGUUGAUAGAGAUGACUUUGGUUUUGAGGGUUGAAGCCAUCCAGUUAGGUAGGCUGCAGUGCAAAGUGACCUUUUUUGUUAUUUUGAAUUGGGGCUACUUAUUGAUUUUCCUCUUCUUUAGCCUAUCGCAUGCUAAAGUCUUUAAUGCAUAUUUCGCUAUUUGUACCUUGAGAGUAUGAACCCAGAAAGCCAAAUUCCAGUUAGUAUCCUUUAGCUGUGUCUAACAGAAUGCAUUUUAGAAAAAUGAUAAGGCUUGCAGUUGGACUCUUGGAUUUAUUGAUAUUCAUAAGCCUUUCAUCUUCAUGCACACUCACGCAUCUUCAGAGAAGUACUUAAACAUGGCACUCGGAAAACGCUGAUGGCACGGAAUAGGGCUGAUCCUCUUAGAGUCUGCUGCUUACACAGAAAAACUGGAAAAUAAUAAGAACUGAAAUCUCUACUCUGUAACUUUGCCUUUCCAUCCCAGGUCUUGACAUUAUGGAGAGGAGUGGGUUCCCUCCGAGGGCUGUUGCCUGUUGCGUGUCUGAUAUGCACAUAGAACCUUUCCCCGUUUGUAGGUGCAAUUUAUGUUCGGUUGUGAAAAUACUUGAUUGCAGAUGGGUUUGAAACAACACUGGAAUUCAGUCGGCUUUUCCUUUGUGUAUUUACUGUACUAAGUGUUCCCUGGGUUGUGAUUUUGAAUACAAUCAGACACCUGGUGCCUUUUGGAAGCGUGCCACUGAGAAAGGCUCCAUAUUUGUAAAUUAAUAGUUUGUACCACUCAAAAAAACCCGAUUGGGGCAAUAAUUGAAUGUUAGGAAUGGAGCUUACAUUUUUUUCCACCUUGUAAGAUUUCCCCUUUUAAUAAGCAAAUUUCUCAAGUAACAGGCUUCACUGAAGGGAGGCAAACUCCCAAUAAGUCUUACUGUGCUAUUUGCCUUUCCUCUGAUUAGCGUAAAGAGUGUGUUCAAUGCAGUGUUUAAUAAGGACUGUUUAAGCCAGGGUUCAAACUUAGCCUUCUGUAGGAUAUAGGGAAAUGUGUUUGGUUGUCAAUACUAAAUUAUUAAACUUUAUACAGAAAACAUCAAGCUACAUUAAAAAAUUAUGAAUUUUUAAAUGGAAGUAACACAGUUUGAUGAUUUAAGAAGUUAAAAACGUGACAGGCAUAUUCCAUAAGGGUAGCAGUCUUUGUAACAAUUUGCCCUUCCUAAGUGUGGUCUACAAUAGCCACCCAGGCUUUGUGUGUUUAAAGUGGAGUUCUCCACCUGGGAUCAAGUGUAUGGUAGAGAUGUAAAUGUAUAGCUGCAUCUGUCUCGUAUGCCUAUGUAAAAUGUAGUUUGUAUCUCAUAUUACCUAUACAAUUUAAGCACACUGUUUGUUUUGGUUUGGUAGGAAUUAAGCAUGCUGCUAUUUCUGGGGAGAAGGAUGUUUCUAUAAAAAGGUAUUUCCUCCCCGUGGGUGAGAGAUACCAUAGUGAUCAAGUGCUAAUUCUCUGGCCAGAAAUAAAUAAUAAUAGCAAGCAAACAAAACCAAAGAAACCAGGAAGUAAAGAGCACCGACAGCUCCUAUAAAAUGAUGACGCCAACCUUCAACCUCCACCGACAACUGCGAGGUUUCAUACUUGAAUGUAUCCUUCUUUUCCACUUCAAAUGUGCAGUUGCCUUUGAUAUAUAUUUGUAUCAUAAGUUAUUUAGCGUGCAACUGGCCGUGUCUCUGUUCUUUUGAAGGAGUGUGUUUAUGCUCUGAUGAGAGCACAGAUAAACCGUUGAGGUAUUUCCGAAGUUGUCUGCCUGCGAUGGGGAAAGGUGAUUUGCUUAUGCAAAUUUAAGGCGACUGCUCUGCCAGCCCUGGCUUUUCCUGCUCUGCUGGUCUUUCCCAGUUUUACUUUUGAUUAACACAAAACAAGAGAUGAGCUGUCACCUCACCUGUGAAUAUGUUAUUUUCAGCAAAUCCGAAAUCAAACCGAGGUUCUGGUUACUUUGGUUUUACUUAUUGUUUUCUUUAGAGAUGCUGGUGAUCUAUAAACAUUUAUGCUUAAAAAACAAGUUUCAUAAUGACUACUUCAAAAUGCCUAGAAACUUUUCUCAUCCGAUAUCAGGGUUAAGGCAGUGAGUUCCAACCACGGAUUCAGUGUAGGCUCUGAGAGGAUGCUAAUGAUAAAGUAAAGCCCACCUGAAGCACCACGGGCACGAAGCACCGAAGGCACGAAGCACCGUGCUUUCUCCCAGUUCCUUAUCAAUGCUUGCUGUUAGCAACACUUUGUUUCUAUCAUUAUUUUUCU